UACGUAGGGUGCAAGCGUUAUUCGGAAUUACUGGGCGUAAAGCGCGCGUAGGCGGUUUUGUAAGUCUGUCGUGAAAUCCCCGGGCUCAACCUGGGAAUUGCGAUGGAGACUGCAAGGCUAGAAUCUGGCAGAGGGGGGUAGAAUUCCACGUGUAGCAGUGAAAUGCGUAGAGAUGUGGAGGAACACCGCUCGCGAAGGCAGCCCCCUGGGUCAAGAUUGACGCUCAUGCACGAAAGCGUGGGGAGCAAACAGG
rnacentral:rRNA from 1 species